CGCGCAAGUUCGUCGGGAAAUCCACUCGCUUAACGAGUGGGCGUCCGGCGAAAACUGUGCGGCUUGGGACCGGAAGAUCCAAGGGGUACGUCCGGGGUAGGAGUGAAAUCCCGUAAUCCUGGACGGACCACCGAUGGCGAAAGCACCUUGGAAGGACGGAUCCGACAGUGAGGGACGAAAGCUAGGGUCUCGAACCGGAUUAGAUACCCGGGUAGUCCUAGCCGUAAACGAUGCUCGCUAGGUGUGGCGCAGGCUACGAGCCUGCGCUGUGCCGUAGGGAAGCCGUGAAGCGAGCCGCCUGGGAAGUACGUCUGCAAGGAUGAAACCUAAAGGAAUUGGCGGGGGAGCACUACAACCGGAGGAGCCUGCGGUUUAAUUGGACUCAACGCCGGACAUCUCACCAGCUCCGACAGCAGUAAUGACGGUCAGGUUGAUGACCUUACCCGACGCUGCUGAGAGGAGGUGCAUGGCCGCCGUCAGCUCGUACCGUGAGGCGUCCUGUUAAGUCAGGCAACGAGCGAGACCCGCACCUCUAGUUGCCAGCAGCAUCUUGCGAUGGCUGGGUACACUAGGGGGACUGCCGUCGCUAAGACGGAGGAAGGAACGGGCAACGGUAGGUCAGUAUGCCCCGAAUGAGCUGGGCUACACGCGGGCUACAAUGGUCGAGACAGUGGGAUGCGACACCGAGAGGUGGAGCUAAUCUCCUAAACUCGAUCGUAGUUCGGAUUGCGGGCUGAAACCCG
rnacentral:rRNA from 1 species